rnacentral:snoRNA from 1 species
UUUUUCCUUGUGAUGAAACCAUUUCGGAUGUAAAGUAGUCUAACGACUCGAAAUCCGAGAGCGCAAAAACCCCAUGUGGAUUUUUCCGUUGCCUUCCUUCUGAUUCCUAAU